UACGGAGGGAGCUAGCGUUGUUCGGAAUUACUGGGCGUAAAGGGCGCGUAGGCUGUGCUGUAAGUCAGGCGUGAAAGGCCCGGGCUCAACCUGGGAACUGCGCUUGAUACUGCGGCGCUUGAAGACGGGAGAGGAUGGCGGAAUUCCCAGUGUAGAGGUGAAAUUCGUAGAUAUUGGGAAGAACACCGGUGGCGAAGGCGGCAUCUGGCCCGU
rnacentral:rRNA from 1 species